rnacentral:rRNA from 1 species
ACACAAUAAGCAUUCCACCUGGGGAGUACGGCCGCAAGGUUGAAACUCAAAGGAAUUGACGGGAGCCCGCACAAGCAGUGGAGUAUGAGGUUUAAUUCGACGCAACGCGAAGAACCUUACCAGGUCUUGACAUCCAAGGAAUCCGGCGUAAUGGCUGGAGUGCCCUUCGGGGAGCCUUGAGACAGGUGGUGCAUGGUUGUCGUCAGCUCGUGUCGUGAGAUGUUGGGUUAAGUCCCGCAACGAGCGCAACCCUUACGGUUAGUUGCUACGCAAGAGCACUCUAGCCGGACUGCCGUUGACAAAACGGAGGAAGGUGGGGAUGACGUCAAAUCAUCAUGCCCUUUAUGACCUGGGCUACACACGUACUACAAUGGCGCAAACAAAGGGGAGCUAAGCCGCGAGGCGGAGCAAAUCCCAAAAAAGGCGUCCCA